rnacentral:SRP_RNA from 1 species
AACUGGGCCGGGCCUGGAGGGGCGCCACCCCUCCCCCUCUUAAAGGGGGCCGUAGGUGAACGGGGGCCGAAACUCCACCCCGCUACUGAUUAGCCCAGUGUCGGGCCAUGGGCACCGCUAUGAAGGCCAGCCCCCUGAGACGCCCAUCACCCACGCCUACAGCCGUAGGGCUGUGGGUAGUGGGGUUCCGGUGAACCGGGUUAGGCCCGGGAGGGAGCGGCCCUAAGCCGGGGUGGGCGUGUUCAGGGGUCCACUGGCCUGAGCAUGGGCCUAUGGCUACGGCUGAGACUAGUCGGUGGUGGGGUGGGGGUUGGGCCCAUGU